AGUCAUCCAUCGUCCUCUGGACCGCCAACAGAUCAACAUGAAAAGAAUAUUUCUAUAACAAACCAGGCGAUGGAAAUAGAUGUAAUCUGACCAAAUACCAGCCCUGGCGAACCUCCCCUCUUUGUAUGAUGGGAAAGUUGGAUAGGUUCGACAUAGUGUUUGAAAACCCAGACGGUGUCUGCGUAUCCGGAAACCCCCUCAGUGGUUCCGUUAUUUUGGAACUUUCUGGAAAAUUGAAAAUUUGUGAGUUGUUGCUCCGUUUCCAUGGUUACGCCAGUGUGUGCUGGGUGGAGCGACAGUCCAGUGGUCACGGUAAGAACAAGAGGGCCGUGGCCAAGCACUACUCCAGCGACGAGAUCUACUUCGACCACACCGUAAACGUCAUCGGGAAUAAUGGCAGGGAUAUACAGGUCCUCGCGGCUGGGCACCACUCCCUCCCAUUCGAGUUCCACCUCCCUGCCGAUUGUCCUACGUCAUACGAAGGCUCCAUUGGUCGCGUGCGUUACUACGUUUCCGCUAAAAUCCGGAAGUUAUACGAAAUCGAACACACCACAAUGAAACUAUUCACUGUGAUUCAUCACCUUGACCUGAACAACGACCUACGUUUGCUGCAACCCGCGGAGGCCAGCAAUGAUAUGACCCUGUGCUGCCUCUGUUGUAAGUCAGGACCAAUCUCUGCCACGCUAUAUUUAGAAACAAUAGGCUUUGUCCCGGGAGAGGGGAUUCCCAUCCACGUGGAGAUUGAGAACAGAAGUGGAAGGAAAAUUUCUGCGGCCAGUGUUACGUUACUCAUGGUGGUACGAUAUAACACAAGUAAAAAGUCGAAGACACACACCAAUCAAGUGGCGUCCCUCUGCAAGGACGAAUGGAAUGCUGGGAAGACAGAAAUGUGGACGGGAGAGCGAUUGAUUAUACCCUCCGUACCGCCAUCUUAUCUCAUCGGCUGUGAUAUCAUCGAAAUAUCGUAUGUUCUAGAGGUAGUAUCAAACUCUCGACGUUAUUAUAUUAUACAACUGCCAAUCAUGCUGUCCCAGCUUCGUUUUUCAGAGUUUUUGUUGCGUUAUGGCUUGGUGAAUUAAUUUUAAACUUGCUGUUUAGCUUUAUACUGUGAAACCAAAUCCUUACAGCUGAAGGUCCAUCCCUCUGGCCCAGCGUUCACUCUACCGGUCAAAAUGGAGGUGGUUGUGGGCACGAAACCCUUGAAGAACUCUGCCAAUAAUUUUACCUACAGCGGGUCGGGAGUCUCGCUAAUUUCACCAAUUCACCGAACCAACGAACAACAGAACAAACUUUGUGUGACCUUCACGGAGAGUGUCCUUGGAAAGGUCACUGUCGAUGACGACAGAGAAUGUGACGACAUUCCUCAUGACAUCACUUUCGCACCUGUGUAUCCGUACCAUUCGCUCUCCAACAAAACAGACAGUUUCCAGGUGAAAAGUUCGCCAAAGCCUGGGGACAAUGGUUUCAAGAGAUAGGACAGGCCUUGUCAAUGUUUGUCUUCAUAUAAAGUGUUGAAUUUGCCAAGACAGCAUGAAUUCUCGUAUACCACAAGUGAUACGUUGUAUCUCUGCACGUGCUUCACGGACACGUGACAUUAGGGCACCUGACGUGAUGACGUUCUGUCUGUUAAUGGAGACGUUGGCUGUAGAACGGCUUUUUGGUGACAGUGGUGUGUAUCGCUGUUUAGACAGUGAGAAUGAGCGGGUUCUGGUGAAUUCCUGACGUUGGAAAGGAUUGUGACGCUAUGGAAACGCAGAAAAAAGAUUUACUUUGUAUAUACUAGUAAUCCAGGCAAAUCCUAAUCUUUAUUUUUUAUAAGUAACCAUGAAUACUAUUAAUAAUUUUGCGUUGAUGAAUGUGAUUUUGUACAAUAAAUUAUAUUACUUUU
rnacentral:misc_RNA from 1 species